GUGGACCAGUCGGCCGCGCUGCACCGGCGGGUGGCUGCGAUGCGGGAGGCGGGCGCCGUGUUGCCGGAGCAGUAUCAAGAGGAUGCAUCCGACGUGAAGGACAUGUCUAAAUAUAAACCUCACAUUCUGCUGUCUCAAGAGAAUACUCAGAUUAGAGACUUACAGCAGGAAAACAGAGAGCUGUGGGUCUCCUUGGAGGAGCACCAGGAUGCAUUGGAACUCAUCAUGAGCAAGUACCGGAAACAAAUGUUACAGUUAAUGGUUGCUAAACAAGCAGUGGAUGCUGAACCAGUUUUGAAAGCUCAUCAGUCUCACUCUGCAGUAAGAAACACUGAUAAAUAAAUUGUAAAUAAACUG
rnacentral:lncRNA from 1 species